AUCCAAAUGCUUUGGCUGGACAGACCGGACCUGACCAUGCUCUUAUAGGAGGAAUAGUGGCUGUAGUUGUCUUUGUAACACUAUGUUCUAUAAUUCUCCUUGGUCGAUACCUGGCAAGACAUAAAGGAACAUAUUUAACAAAUGAAGCAAAAGGAGCUGAAGACGCACCUGAUGCCGACACAGCCAUUAUAAAUGCAGAAGGCAGCCAAGUCAAUGCAGAGGAGAAAAAAGAGUAUUUCAUUUAGAUGCAGAGCUAGAUUCUUGGAGUUUUACUUAUCAGGCUGACUGCUGGAGAAAACUGGCUAUCAUUUCUCAGCAUUCAUUUCUGCCAUCUUCUGCUAUCUUUAUUAACUCGCAUACCUGCUAUAAGUAGCCAGUUUAUGCCAACAAUCAGCUGUUGACAUCAUCAUUCUAUAAUUACAGUAUCAUGCGUAAAGCAGGACAUUUCUUAUUGCCUAAAAUUCAUAUCCACUGCUCUCUUAACAUACAGUGCUUGAAUAUACAGCCUUAACAAUGUUAAUCAUCAUCUUAAUCCAAGUUUUCUACAUUUUUAAAUGUUAUGCAGCUUUCUUCUUUUUCCGUUUUCUUUUAUCAUGUCCCUACUAGUUUGUCAUAGAACAAUAUUCAUAACAAAUACUAUUAGGUAAGGACCUAAUUUACUUACAUAAAAUGUUAAGUCUAAGAUUAGAGGUUUAUAAAGAAUGUUUUAUACAUGUCUAUCUAUAAUUCAAAAAGCAACUUGGUUUUGAAACAUAUGCCCUGGAAAACACAAACUGAAAUCUUUUUAGUAUAGUUUCUUGUAUGCUUGGAUUUGGUAGAAAAAAACCUUAUCAGUCCACUGAAUUUUUUGUCUUGUUUUGCUUUGUUUUGUUAUGUUUUAAAUGGUACCUUGACAACAGUGCCAUGUUUCAGUGCUAAAAACAUGCUGAGUAGCUAUACAGAUUCUGCAAAGUUAGAUAAUAGUGCUUCAUUUGAAACAAAUUUGUCCUGCCCUUUUACUGCUUUUGGGUUCACAAAGAUUAGAGAACUUUCUGAGUAAUUUCUGGUUUUAUAAUUUAUUUGCUUCACAUGAACUCACCUGCCUACUCAAAUUUGAAGUGUUCAUGGGGCACAACUGCAAAGCAUUUUAGUAUCUGUAUAUAGUGCAUAUAAUAAAUUCAAUUAAACAUUAUUUGAUACAUAUUUAACUUUUUUGGCAGUAGCUAAGUCAGUCACAAGUAAGCAUUUUCUAAUGUCCAUUAUAUCCCUUUAGAUAUGACUCAAAUCAAUAUUCUCAGUAGAUAACAUGUAUUAGUAUUUUUUUGUCUGUAUGUCCUAGCACUGUUCAGCAGCAAACUUUUCUAGUUCUUGUUAAUUUUUUCUUUGUUAUACAAUGGAAGCACAAUGUUAUAUGGAAAGGUAGUUUUAAGCUAACAACCAGUGCACAGCCUCAGGUUUUAAAUUACAACCACAUUUGAUUACUAUCCUUAAAAAAUACUGUUGAGUUGCUAAAAUUCUCAAUUUUUAAUUUGGCAGUUCCAGAGCUGCUUCUCUAUGUUGGUUUGCCAAAAAAAAAGAAAAAAGAAAAAAAAAAAAAAGAAAAAAAUAGAAGUGUUAAAACAAAAGAUAUAUGUUUUGUGUAUACAGUAAAUGGACUAAUUCUUUAUAUUAAAUUCCUGUCUAUGCAUUUUGUGAGGUACAAACUUAUGUCACCGUGAAUGAUAGAAAAUUCCUGCCAUGCUUUUAGCUCCACAGUGAAAGUCUCUGUUUGGAUUAUUUCUGAAAUUUUUUGUGUAAUUGACAGCUGAAAAAUCACAUGCUCUUAAGUAUGACAACAAAACACUGUAAGCCCAUCGGCUUAUUUCCUCUUCCAAUGAAAUAAAAAGGUUGCCUCUUGGAAAUGAUUCUACACUGGAGAACGCAAGUUAGUCUAACUGGAGUUUGUCUUGCUCCUAAGUUUUGCACCUUUGACAAAAGAGUAUUUCUCUCUGGUUGCUGUACUUGUGAAGCCUAAAAGCAUGAUGGUCUGCUGUAAAGGACUUUCUCCUGGAAUUUUAUUUUUGUGUGGGGAAUGGAGAGUUUGGAAUAUGACAUCAUGUAGUAUGGUAAAAUGGAAGAUAAAGGUGCUGUGUCAGAUUAUUUAUCAGAAGAGUAUAAACCUUUUAAGGACAAUAUUAGAGUAUUUUAAUUGUUUUUGUUGAAACAUUUAUCUGUUAAUUUCUAAGGAAAAAGGGUGACGUCAAUCAAAGCAGCACUUUUUUUCAAAAUAUACAGACAUAAUAUGAUGUGGUUGAGUGUUAACAUAAUAAAUCAUAUACAGUAUGACAUUUUAAAGAAA